rnacentral:lncRNA from 1 species
UCCUUAGCUCCUCCCUUCUUUCUGAUUGAUCCCCUCCUCCAUCACUGCCAUCUUUUUUUCUCCUCAUCCCCUUCCUCUUCUUUCUCCCUCCUCCUUUCUCCUCUUCCUUCCCAUCUAAUUCUCCUCAUCAUCCUCCUCCUCCAAAUCGCCCAUAAACCAUCCCCUCUACGUUAGCCUCCACCUCCAUCCCUUCUUACCUUCCUCCUCAUUCUCAUUCUCUUUUUCAUCUUCUUUC